rnacentral:rRNA from 1 species
GUCGAACGGGAUAGAACUUAGCAAUAGGUUCUUGAGAGUGGCGCACGGGUGCGUAACACGUAUGCAACCUACCUUUAACUGGGGGAUAGCCUCUCGAAAGAGAGAUUAAUACCCCAUAGUAUAAUUAGAGAGCAUUUUCUGAUUAUUAAAGAUUUAUCGGUUAAAGAUGGGCAUGCGGCUGAUUAGGUAGUUGGUGAGGUAAUGGCUCACCAAGCCAACGAUCAGUAGGGGGUCUGAGAGGAUGUCCCCCCACACUGGUACUGAGACACGGACCAGACUCCUACGGGAGGCAGCAGUAGGGAAUAUUGGACAAUGGGGGCAACCCUGAUCCAGCCAUUCCGCGUGCAGGAAUAAGGCCCUAUGGGUCGUAAACUGCUUUUGUAUGGGAAAAAAUCAUCUUACGUGUAGGGUGUUGAUGGUACCAUGAGAAUAAGGAUCGGCUAACUUCGUGCCAGCAGCCGCGGUAAUACGAAGGAUCCAAGCGUUGUCCGGAUUUACUGGGUUUAAAGGGUGCGUAGGCGGGGAAUUAAGUCAGUGGUGAAAGCUGGUAGCUCAACUAUCAAAUCGCCAUUGAAACUGAUUCUCUCGAGUACGGUUGAGGUAGCUGGAAUGUAACAUGUAGCGGUGAAAUGCUUAGAUAUGUUACAGAACACCGAUUGCGAAGGCAGGCUACUAAACCGUAACUGACGCUGAGGCACGAAAGCGUGGGGAUCAAACAGGAUUAGAUACCCUGGUAGUCCACGCUGUAAA